AAGUAAAAAGUUAUUUAUUUUGACAAUAAGAUAAGAAUUACUAUCAUAACAUGUAACUUACUUUAUAUUCAAUAUUUUUGAGUGAGAAAAUGAGUUUAAAAGUUAUUUUUUCAUUUUUUUUUUUCUGAUAUAGCCAAACAUUUACCAUCCCACUAUAACAAAAAAUUCAAGAAAAGUUGUAUUCCAUACUCUUAAUCAAAGCAUGUAGCAUUCCAGUCAUCACUCUCUCUCUCCUCCCCCUCUCUCUAGAAAUUAAGCAAAGAAAAAGAGAAAAGGUUAGCCGAAAAAGCUAACCAAAGCUAUCUCUAGCUAUAGCACACAGUAAAUCCAAAGAUCUUGAAUAAUUUUUCUCCCCAUUCCUACACUCUUCUUCAAUUUUUCCUCUAUGUCUGAUGAUCAAAACAAGUAUCCUUAUCAACCCUACAAUUGUUUUCAUCAUGAUCUGAAUAUGGUAUCAGGGUUUAUCGGAUCAAACCCUGUUGGAUUUGAUCCUUCUCAUAUGAGCUUCACUGACUGCUUGCACGAAGCAGUGCAUUACAACACUCUAUCAAGUGCCUUUGACAUUUCUUGUUCAUCAUCUCAUGCUGUUAAUUAUCCUGCAAAUGAUACUUGUAAUCCAAACAAAGAUAUCAGUGUUGGAGCGCCAUCUGCUGCAGGAGGGAAUAAUGAAAAUCCAUUGACGCCGAAUUCUACCGAGUUUUCGUCUUCUUCUGCGGUUGGAGGUGAAGAGGAAUCCUCAAAAAGCAAGGAAGAUCUGCAGAAAAAAGUGUUUGAAGAUGAAGAGGAAAAGUCUAAAAAAGCGUAGGUAUUUUGGGGGUUUUCUACUUGAUUUUUCUUUGCCAUUACUAUCAAGGUGGACUUUUUUGGUCCUUUGCUAAUUUUCAAUUUAUUCAUAAUUAUACUUAUUUACAGAACUGAAGAAAAAUAGUAGGAUGGUUUUAUAUUUUUCUACUUACUUUCUUCUUCUUAAAUCAAUUGUGCUUAUUUGUAUGUUCAUAUCUUGAAAUUGAAACUAUGUAUGUAUGAAACAAAACCCUAAUUUUUCAACAACUAUUACUUCAAAUCUAGUUCAUGGAAAUGAAUUUUCACACUUUAUUUAAUUAAUUAACUGCUACUUAAUUAUUUUCCAGGAACAAACCAAAACAGAAAGGGGAGAAAAAGAAACGAGAACCGCGUUUUGCCUUCAUGACAAAGAGUGAAAUCGAUAAUCUUGAAGAUGGUUAUAGAUGGAGGAAAUAUGGCCAGAAAGCAGUGAAAAAUAGCCCUUUUCCAAGGUUAUUAUAUAUCUUUAAUUUCCUGCCCAUGAUAAUUUCUUCACCUGCAGUACAAUGCGAAAUAAUUGAUUAGUAUCAAUAUAACUUAUAUUUCAAGUUUGUUAAUUAAUGAAAACUUUGAUUUUAUGCUAUGUCUUCAAAGUAUUAUUGAUUAGUACCCCUUUAAAUUGAAAUUCUUGAUUUGAUUACUAUUACUAGAGAAAACAUGCCAACAUGAGUAAUAUAUCCCAACAAUUGAUGUUAAAUUAACUUGUAAUUUUCUUCAGAGAAUUAAGAAAAAUUAAUAUAGAGAAGAAUGGAAUCUGAUUACAGUAACCCCUCUCCUCAUUAAUGUUGUAGGAGUUAUUAUAGAUGCACUACUCAGAAGUGCUCUGUGAAGAAAAGAAUUGAAAGAUCAUUUCAAGAUCCGUCUGUGGUGAUCACCACCUAUGAAGGCCAGCACAACCACCACAGUCCCGCCAUGCUUCGUGGCCAGGCCACCGCCAUGUUGGCAUCUUCGCUGCAGCCCACAAUCCCAAGUUUUCCGCAGGACUACAUCCUUUCUCAAAUGCUUCCAACAAGUAACCAAAACCCCCCAAAUUCCAUGUAUUAUAAUAACCUUAAUCCUCAGCAGCAACUUCAACUUCCUGAAUAUAAUUUUAUGCCUGACAUGUUUCCCUCAUUUGUUCACAAAGAGGAGCCAUGAAUUCUCUUUCUCUCGGUGUAUUGUGUAUUAUGUGUAUCUAGGCUUGCACGAUGAAUUGUUAGACUGAUUUAAAGAAGUAUGGAUCACUGCGUAGAGCAUUGAAUGCAAUUAUCUUCUUCUUGAUGUCAAUGAGAGAACUACUUUCACAUUUAAAGAAAUUAUGAAAAACAGUUUAUUAAUUUUUGAAUGUAAUACUAAGUUACUUAGUUCCAAUUUCGUAAAUGAAACUGCUGUUAAACCACUCUUCUGGAAGCUUAAGUUAUUGAGAAAAGAUGCAUUUAUUAAUUUCAUUAUAUCUUUAGCACGCUCCCUAAUGAUCAGU
rnacentral:lncRNA from 1 species